rnacentral:rRNA from 1 species
AAUGAACGCUGGCGGCAUGCCUAACACAUGCAAGUCGAACGAAGGCUUCGGCCUUAGUGGCGCACGGGUGCGUAACGCGUGGGAAUCUGCCCUUGGGUUCGGAAUAACAGUUAGAAAUGACUGCUAAUACCGGAUGAUGUCGUAAGACCAAAGAUUUAUCGCCCAAGGAUGAGCCCGCGUAGGAUUAGCUAGUUGGUGAGGUAAAGGCUCACCGAGGCGACGAUCCUUAGCUGGUCUGAGAGGAUGAUCAGCCACACUGGGACUGAGACACGGCCCAGACUUCUACGGGAGGCAGCAGUGGGGAAUAUUGGACAAUGGGCGAAAGCCUGAUCCAGCAAUGCCGCGUGAGUGAUGAAGGCCCUAGGGUUGUAAAGCUCUUUCACCGGUGAAGAUAAUGACGGUAACCGGAGAAGAAGCCCCGGCUAACUUCGUGCCAGCCGCCGCAGUAAAAC